GCUGAAUUUAAGCAUAUCAAUAAGCGGAGGAAAAGAAACCAACAGGGAUUACCUCAGUAACGGCGAGUGAAGCGGUAACAGCUCAAAUUUGAAAUCUGGCUCCUUUGGGGUCCGAGUUGUAAUUUGUAGAAGAUGCUUUGGGUGUGGGCCUGGCCUAAGUUCCUUGGAACAGGACGUCGUAGAGGGUGAGAAUCCCGUAUGCGGCUGGCGCCCGCGCCCAUGUAAAGCUCUUUCGACGAGUCGAGUUGUUUGGGAAUGCAGCUCUAAAUGGGUGGUAAAUUUCAUCUAAAGCUAAAUAUUGGCCAGAGACCGAUAGCGCACAAGUAGAGUGAUCGAAAGAUGAAAAGCACUUUGGAAAGAGAGUUAAACAGUACGUGAAAUUGUUGAAAGGGAAGCGCUGGCAACCAGACUUGGGCGCUGUUGAUCCGUUAGGGUUCUCCCUGGGGUACUCAGCAGUGCGCAGGCCAGCAUCGGUUUGGGGGGUUGGAGAAAGGCUGGUGGAAUGUGGCUGCCUUCGGGCGAGUGUUAUAGCCACCGGUGGCAAUGCAAGCCUUCCCCGGACCGAAGGACCGCGCUUCGGCUAAUAAUGCGGCGAUAGGUACGUCCC
rnacentral:rRNA from 1 species